ACAAAAUGUUACAAAAGCGCACCGCUGUCACGUUCUGACCUUAGUUCCUUUGUCAUGUCUUUGUUUGGUCAGGGCGUGAGUUGGGACACCCUACCAGGGUCGACCACACCAGAGGGGGGACUGCAACAGCGAUCACCAACUGGACAUCUGCUGUCCAGCCAUGGAGCAGACUUCAUUUGCCUACCCGGGUUUCUGCGAACAUGCAGGUUAAUUUGCAACAUGCAGGUUAAUUGCAAGAUUGAACCCAACAUGGGGGGACUGUCAUGACGUUGGCCUGGGGCCUUGACGACAAUAUGACCUCCUGUUCCGAAGAUGUGAGGACGACGGUCUGAUGUCAGAAUGGUUCAGAUAAUACCUACAGAACGAAGCCAAUAUCAGCGUGAGCUUUGGUUGCGAAUGGUAUGAACUUUGAACUCUUAUUCACUACAGAAGUGAUACCUCCUAGCCGUUGAGUUAGCAACAGCAGAUGCAAACGAGGCUUAGGGAGGAACAGACAGAGUAUCCCAUCUAUCACACAACGACGUUACUACAACGUAUCCAAUUGACCACCAGAGACAUUCUUCAAAGGACUCGGUUGGGCAACACGGCCUUCCAUCUACCACCAACCUACCGAAGCGCAGCUCAGAGUAAAUAUUUAUUGCAUUUUCCUUUCCAAAUGGGUGGUAAUUUAGAAUGCAUAAGAUAAUGUAUUUACGAUAGCACAGCUUCUUCCCUUUGUUCCUCAGUCUUCCCGCUCUUUCACUCAAACCCAGCCCCUUUUCUUUUGUGUAACAAGCUGUCAUCUCUGUUCCGCCCGCUAGGGACGUUUUCCAUUAUGGCGUAAUUUGUAAUCAAGUUAUGAUUUAAUUAUGUGUAUGUGUAAUUCUGUGUGAUUAGUUAGGUAUUUAGUAAAUAAAUGAUUAA